rnacentral:rRNA from 1 species
UACGUAGGGUGCGAGCGUUGUCCGGAUUUAUUGGGCGUAAAGAGCUCGUAGGCGGUUUGUCGCGUCGGCCGUGAAAUCUCCACGCUUAACGUGGAGCGUGCGGUCGAUACGGGCAGACUUGAGUUCGGUAGGGGAGACUGGAAUUCCUGGUGUAGCGGUGAAAUGCGCAGAUAUCAGGAGGAACACCGGUGGCGAAGGCGCCACUCUGGGCCGGUACUGACGCUGAGGAGCGAAAGCGUGGGUAGCAAACAGG